rnacentral:rRNA from 1 species
GACGAACGCUGGCGGCGUGCUUAACACAUGCAAGACGAACGGAAAGGCCUCUUUCGGGGGGUACUCGAGUGGCGAACGGGUGAGUAACACGUGAGUAACCUGCCCUUGACUUUGGGAUAACUUCAGGAAACUGGGGCUAAUACCGGAUAGGAGCUCCUGCUGCAUGGUGGGGGUUGGAAAGUUUCGGCGGUUGGGGAUGGACUCGCGGCUUAUCAGCUUGUUGGUGGGGUAGUGGCUUACCAAGGCUUUGACGGGUAGCCGGCCUGAGAGGGUGACCGGCCACAUUGGGACUGAGAUACGGCCCAGACUCCUACGGGAGGCAGCAGUGGGGAAUAUUGCACAAUGGGUGGAAGCCUGAUGCAGCAACGCCGUGUGCGGGAUGACGGCCUUCGGGUUGUAAACCGCUUUCGCUCAUGACGAAGCUUUGUGUGACGGUAGUGGGUAAAGAAGCACCGGCUAACUACGUG